rnacentral:piRNA from 2 species
UGACUUUAGGGCUGGGUGGGCCUUGGGGG